rnacentral:rRNA from 1 species
CGGGACGGGUGAGUAACGCGUGGGUAACCUGCCUUGUACUGGGGGACAACAGUUAGAAAUGACUGCUAAUACCGCAUAAGCGCACAGUAUCGCAUGAUACAGUGUGAAAAACUCCGGUGGUACAAGAUGGACCCGCGUCUGAUUAGCUAGUUGGUAAGGUAAGGGCUUACCAAGGCGACGAUCAGUAGCCGACCUGAGAGGGUGACCGGCCACAUUGGGACUGAGACACGGCCCAA